rnacentral:rRNA from 1 species
UACGGGGGGAGCAAGCGUUGUUCGGAUUUACUGGGCGUAAAGGGCGCGUAGGCGGUCGUGACAAGUCACUUGUGAAAUCUCCGGGCUUAACUCGGAACGGUCAGAUGAUACUGUUUUGCUAGAGUGCAGAAGGGGCAAUCGGAAUUCUUGGUGUAGCGGUGAAAUGCGCAGAUAUCAGGAGGAACACCGGUGGCGAAGGCGGAUCUCUGGGCCGUAACUGACGCUGAGGAGCGAAAGCAUGGGGAGCGAACAGG